GACUAACGCUGGCGGCGUGCCUAACACAUGCAAGUCGAACGAGAAAGCGGUAGCAAUAUCGUGAGUAAAGUGGCGAACGGGUGAGUAACACGUAACCAAUCUGCCUUGAAAUGGAGGAAAACUGAGGGAAACUUUAGCUAACCCCCCAUAAUGUGAUUUUGACGCAUGUCGAGAUCAUUAAAAAUUUAUUGUUUCGAGAAGAGGUUGCGUCUGAUUAGCUAGUUGGCGGGGUAAAAGCCCACCAAGGCUACGAUCAGUAGCUGGUCUGAGAGGAUGAUCAGCCACACUGGGACUGAGAUACGGCCCAGACUCCUACGGGAGGCAGCAGUGAGGAUAUUGCGCAAUGGGCGAAAGCCUGACGCAGCAACGCCGCGUGUAGGACGAAAUCCUUCGGGAUGUAAACUACUGUUAGAGGGGAAGAAAUCCCGGUUACGCCGGGAGUGACGGUACCCUCAGAGAAAGCCACGGCUAACUCUGUGCCAGCAGCCGCGGUAAUACAGGGGUGGCAAGCGUUGUCCGGAAUUACUGGGUGUAAAGGGUGCGUAGGCGGGUCGGUAAGUCAGUGGUCAAAUCCUAUAGCUUAACUAUAGACUAUCCAUUGAUACUGCUGAUCUUGAGUGCGAGAGAGAUGAGUGGAAUUCCAAGUGUAGCGGUGAAAUGCGUAGAGAUUUGGAAGAACACCAGUAGCGAAGGCGGCUCAUUAGCUCGUAACUGACGCUGAGGCACGAAAGCAUGGGUAGCAAACAGGAUUAGAUACCCUGGUAGUCCAUGCCCUAAACGAUGAGGACUAGGUAUCGGCAAUUUAUUGUCGGUGCCGCAGCUAACGCAUUAAGUCCUCCACCUGGGGAAUACGAUCGCAAGAUUG
rnacentral:rRNA from 1 species